rnacentral:tRNA from 1 species
UCCCGUGUGGCUCAGUUGGUAGAGCACUUAACAAAGAGCUGUGCAUUGUAACGGCAGUGUUGUGGGUUCAAUUCCCACAGGGGAC